rnacentral:rRNA from 1 species
CGCAAGCRUGAUGCAGCCAUGCCGCGUGUGUGAAGAAGGCUUCGGGUUGUAAAGCACUUUCAGCGAGGAGGAAAGMUUAAGCGUUAAUAGCGUUUAGGUGUGACGUUACUCGCAGAAGAGGGACCGGCUAACUUCGUGCCAGCAGCCGCGGUAAUACGAGGGGUCCAAGCGUUAAUCGGAAUUACUGGGCGUAAAGCGUANGCAGGCGGUUUGUUAAGCGAGAUGUGAAAGCCCCGGGDUCAACRUGGGAACUGCAUUUCGAACUGGCAAACUAGAGUCUUGUAGAGGGGGGUAGAAUUUCAGGUGUAGCGGUGAAAUGCGUAGAGAUNUGAAGGAAUACCGGUGGCMNYGGCGGCCNNNUGGACYYHGAMUGAGGUUCAUGUACGAAAGCGUGGGGAGCAAACAGGAUUAGAUACCCUGGUAGUCCACGCVGUAAACGAUGUCUANUCGGAAUUUGGUGUCUUGAACACUGGGUUCUCAAGUAACGCAUUAAGUAGCCG